rnacentral:rRNA from 1 species
GAUGAACGCUGGCGGCGUGCCUAAUACAUGCAAGUCGAGCGAAUGGAUUAAGAGCUUGCUCUUAUGAAGUUAGCGGCGGACGGGUGAGUAACACGUGGGUAACCUGCCCAUAAGACUGGGAUAACUCCGGGAAACCGGGGCUAAUACCGGAUCACAUUUUGAACCGCAUGGUUCGACAUUGAAAGGCGGCUUCGGCUGUCACUUAUGGAUGGACCCGCGGCGCAUUAGCUAGUUGGUGAGGUAACGGCUCACCAAGGCAACGAUGCGUAGCCGACCUGAGAGGGUGAUCGGCCACACUGGGACUGAGACACGGCCCAGACUCCUACGGGAGGCAGCAGUAGGGAAUCUUCCGCAAUGGACGAAAGUCUGACGGAGCAACGCCGCGUGGGUGAUGAAGGCUUUCGGGUCGUAAAACUCUGUUGUUAGGGAAGAACAAGUGCUAGUUGAAUAAGCUGGCACCUUGACGGUACCUAACCAGAAAGCCACGGCUAACUACGUGCCAGCAGCCGCCGUAA